GUCGCCGUAACAAUGCACGGACGUCGCGACCCGUUCGGUGUCGGUCCUACUCAUAGGAGACGUGUGAAAGUUCGUGAACGCGUGUCGGCUCGUCUGGCGCGCGUUCGCGAGUCCGCGUUUUUUUUUCUGGCCGACUCGCCGGACGGUAUGCGUAACGGUGGCCGCGGCGACCUUUCCAGCGUCGUCGUUCGGUACCGGUCCGCGACGAAUCUUCGGGCCUCUUUCCGACCCGUCUUGAAACACGGACCAAGGAGUCUAACGUGCGCGCGAGUCGCGGGGUGUCGAGUGGUUGGCGGUCGUCUUCGGGCGUUCGUCGGGCCACUCGUUACAAUACGAAACCCGUCUCGUUUUACGAAAGGCGCAAUGAAAGUGAAUUUAGGGGAAGAUGACGUUACCGAGUUCACGUUCCGCGCUCUCGAAGCGCGGCCGGUCGUCCGCAUUCCCAGGGCGUCCCAACGGCCCGGCGGCGUUGCGGACCGCCGUCUCUUCGGAGGCGGUGGUCGGGCGUCGUCGAACCGGGGCGCACCUAUAGCGUGCACGUUGGUACCCGAAAGAUGGUGAACUAUGCCCGGCCAGGAUGAAGUCAGGGG
rnacentral:rRNA from 1 species